GACGAACGCUGGCGGCGUGCUUAACACAUGCAAGUCGAACGGAAAGGCCCUGCUUGCAGGGUACUCGAGUGGCGAACGGGUGAGUAACACGCGGGUGAUCUGCCCUGCACUUCGGGAUAAGCCUGGGAAACAGGGUCUAAUACCGGAUAGGAGCCAUUUUGAGGCGGAUGGUUGGAAGGUUAUUUUGGGUUUGGUUGGGCUUGCGGGCUGCAUCUUUGUUGGUGGGGUAAUGGCCUACUAAGCCGGGGACGGGCGGCCGGCCUGCGGGGGUGGACGGCCACAAUGGGACUGAGAGGCGGCCCAAGCUCCGACUGGGGGGAGGAGGGGGGAAUCUUGCACAAAGGGCGCAAGGCUGAUGCAGCGACGCCGCGGGGGGGAAGACGGCCUUCGGGUUGGAAACUCCAUUCGCUAGGGACGGAGCAUUUUGUGACGGUACCUAGAUAAGAAGCACCGGCUAACUACGUG
rnacentral:rRNA from 1 species